AUUGAACGCUGGCGGCAUGCCUUACACAUGCAAGUCGAGCGGCAGCACGGGGCAACCUGGUGGCGAGUGGCGAACGGGUGAGUAAUGCAUCGGAACGUACCUUUCAGUGGGGGAUAACGUAGCGAAAGUUACGCUAAUACCGCAUAUUCUGUGAGCAGGAAAGCAGGGGAUCGCAAGACCUUGCGCUGAUUGAGCGGCCGAUGUCAGAUUAGCUAGUUGGGGAGGGAAAGGCUCACCAAGGCGACGAUCUGUAGCGGGGCUGAGAGGAUGAUCCGCCACACUGGAACUGAGACACGGUCCAGACUCCUACGGGAGGCAGCAGUGGGGAAUUUUGGACAAUGGGGGCAACCCUGAUCCAGCCAUGCCGCGUGAGUGAAGAAGGCCUUCGGGUUGUAAAGCUCUUUCGGCCGGGAAGAAAUCGCACGGGCUAAUACCCUGUGUGGAUGACGGUACCGGAAUAAGAAGCACCGGCUAACUACGUGCCAGCAGCCGCCGUAA
rnacentral:rRNA from 1 species